CCUACGGGUGACAGCAGUGGGGAAUAUUGCGCAAUGGGCGAAAGCCUGACGCAGCGACGCCGCGUGAGGGAUGAAGGUCUUCGGAUCGUAAACCUCUGUCAGCAGGGAAGAACGGUCACUGUGCUAAUCAGCAGUGAAUUGACGGUACCUGCAAAGGAAGCACCGGCUAACUCCGUGCCAGCAGCCGCGGUAAUACGGAGGGGGCGAGCGUUAAUCGGAAUUACUGGGCGUAAAGCGCUCGUAGGCGGGAUGUCAAGUCAAGGGGGAAAUCCCCGCGCUCAACGUGGGAACUGCCUUUGAAACUGGCAAACUGGAGUGUGGGAGAGGAUAGUGGAAUUCCAGGUGUAGGAGUGAAAUCCGUAGAUAUCUGGAGGAACAUCAGUGGCGAAGGCGACUAUCUGGCACAUAACUGACGCUGAGGAGCGAAAGCGUGGGUAGCAAACAGGAUUAGAUACCCUUGUAGUC
rnacentral:rRNA from 1 species